rnacentral:rRNA from 1 species
CCCAGACUCCUACGGGAGGCAGCAGUGAGGAAUAUUGGUCAAUGGCCGGAAGGCUGAACCAGCCAAGUCGCGUGAGGGACGACUGCCCUAUGGGUUGUAAACCUCUUUUAUAAGGGAAGAAUAAAUGCUACGUGUAGCAUGAUGCCUGUACCUUAUGAAUAAGCAUCGGCUAACUCCGUGCCAGCAGCCGCGGUAAUACGGAGGAUGCGAGCGUUAUCCGGAUUUAUUGGGUUUAAAGGGUGCGUAGGCGGAAUGCCAGGCCGGCGGUAAAGGCCGGGGGCCAAACCCGGGGGAGCCGUUGAAACUGGCUGUCUUGAGAUGUCGAGAGGUAUGCGGAAUGCGCAGUGUAGCGGUGAAAUGCUUAGAUAUUGCGCAGAACUCCGAUUGCGAAGGCAGCAUACCGGCGGCGAUCUGACGCUGAGGCACGAAAGCGUGGGUAUCGAACAGGAUUAGAUACCCCCGUAC